AAUUAGGGUCUUUUUAGUAUUUAAAUAUCUCCCACUACGAUCAUAUGAAAAUUAACAUUCUUCGUAUUCUCUAGUUGAAGAUACUUAAAUAGGGGCAACUGUCAUACCCAAAUUUCUCCCAUUAUUCAGUAAAUCGAUACACUCAUCAUGAGUUUCACAUUAUCUGCACAUUAUAGCAUGCAUUUCAUAUUGCAUAAUGCAUGAAAUGUCA
rnacentral:lncRNA from 1 species